rnacentral:lncRNA from 1 species
CUCUUUUCACGGAUGAACGCUUCUAAUCAGCACUUCAAUACCGCGAAGUAUACAUCGUAUGGUACAACAGCAAUUGAAUAUUCACACUUUCUCCGUAUCUGAAUGAGUCAUAACUUUUUAUCUAAUUCACACAUCUUCAUCUUCUUCCUCUUCAGUAAUCACAUCCCUUUCUUUCUCUUCAGUAAUCACAUCCCUUUCUUUCUCCUCAGAAUCAUACCAUUUCAAAAGGUGAUGGUGUCUCUGUAUCUGAUAACAAAUCAGAAUUCUUGUCUUUCCCUCCUUUCAUCCCUCUUCCUUUCUCUUCU